GCUGGAGGUAUCGGAAGUGCGAAUGCUGACAUGAGUAACGAGACGAGUGUGAGAAACACUCGCGCCGAAAGUCCAAGGGUUCCUGCUUAAAGCUAAUCUGAGCAGGGUAAGCCGACCCCUAAGGCGAGGCCGAAAGGCGUAGUCGAUGGGAAUCAGGUGAAUAUUCCUGAGCCAGAUGGAAGUGACGGAUACCGGGUGUUGUCAUCUCUUAUCGGAUUGAGAUGGCUUCGAAGGUGUCCCAGGAAAUAGCUCCAUCAUGAGACCGUACCCUAAACCGACACAGGUGGACUGGUUGAGCAUACCAAGGCGCUUGAGAGAACGACGCUGAAGGAACUCGGC
rnacentral:rRNA from 9 species